rnacentral:rRNA from 1 species
AAUAGAUACCCUGGUAGUCCAUGCCGUAAACGUUGGGCACUAGGUGUGGGGGACAUUCCACGUUUUCCGCGCCGUAGCUAACGCAUUAAGUGCCCCGCCUGGGGAGUACGGCCGCAAGGCUAAAACUCAAAGGAAUUGACGGGGGCCCGCACAAGCGGCGGAGCAUGCGGAUUAAUUCGAUGCAACGCGAAGAACCUUACCAAGGCUUGACAUGUUCCAGACCGGGCUAGAGAUAGUCCUUCCCUUCGGGGCUGGUUCACAGGUGGUGCAUGGUUGUCGUCAGCUCGUGUCGUGAGAUGUUGGGUUAAGUCCCGCAACGAGCGCAACCCUCGUUCCAUGUUGCCAGCACGUAGUGGUGGGGACUCAUGGGAGACUGCCGGGUCAACUCGGAGGAAGGUGGGGAUGACGUCAAAUCAUCAUGCCCCUUAUGUCUUGGGCUUCACGCAUGCUACAAUGGCCGGUACAAUGGGUUGCGAUACUGUGAGGUGGAGCUAAUCCCGUAAAAGCCGGUCUCAGUUCGGAUUGGGGUCUGCAACUCGA